UGUGAGUUUUAUUGUAUUGUUUUGUGGUGU
rnacentral:piRNA from 1 species